AUGGACCCGCCAAAAUCCCCGUGGAGGUAUCCUUUCAAUAGGCCGGCAAUAACGGGCACAGCCUUCAAAAGGAGCAUCUCUCAAGACUCCAACUCUAGCAUAUCUAGUGUAGCAGUUCCUCAUGUCACGUUGCCAGGAGGUCCGACGCUCAGCAUCCUCCGGUCCAGAGGACUGACCCACCUCCUUCCUCAUCGUUACCAGGGCGAAGUAGUCUUCGAAGUAAACCGGUGCAAGAAACUGCCAUGUGGUGAAAACCAGAUCCAGAUUGAUUCUUAUACUACGCAUUUUGUAAUACAUCAAGUAAAAUUCGGUUCAGGAAAGAAAUGCGGUUGCAGUUUUCGGGUCGUUGACAUACUCGUAUCAUUUUAGAACCAGGCGAAACUGAUUGUGAUUUCAUUUUACCUUUGUAAAUUAUGAUGUAAAAUGCGACUGAGGUAUUCAGGCUCAUGUUAGUUGGCAGAAACCAAUUUCCAGGUAAAGCUAUUGAAUCAUGACUGAUCUGAAGCUAAAAUGAAAGGAAACAGAGAGGAGCUGUAGGAAAAUUGGAGAGACAUUAUAAAAAAAUCUUCCUCACGCGCUUAAGUCUUUGCUUAAGAGUUUGUAUCUUCCCUAUUACUCGUAAUAUUUUGAUUAAAAAAACAUCCAAACUCCUAUAACUCCGUUGAAUGCCACAUCUUGAUCCCAGAAUACCCCAGUGGAGCCCAAAAUCAAAUUUUUUUGUAAUAUUUUAUGUUAUUCCAUGAUGGAAUUGUUUUUGCGUUAAUCAAUGUAUUUAUGUGAUUGACUGAAACUUACUGAUUGACUAAUGUAUAGUUGUAUAAAUACAUCAGUUUAAAUGUGUACAGUAGUACAUCACAACGCUUUUAACGAGAGAAGAACAUUUCUAUAUAAAUAAUUACAAAAUUUUACGUCGCGAGGUGCUCAUCCUGUAAAAAGAUUUAUACUUUGAGCGCUCCAUAAGAUUAACUUCUGUUCUCCUGUUCAUCGCUAAGGAUACAUUUUUUUUGCAGCUACUUUUUCUCACACUGCUAAGAAUCUCAGUGCACGUUUAAUGCCUAAAACCAACAAAGAAAAUGUUGUAAGAAAAUCAAUUUCAAGGCACUUUUUUGUGUAAUUUACUCUUAUCUUUUUACUCUAAUUCUCGCGAUUAAAAUUUAGUUUAUACAGACACAAAAUGGAAGGCCCUUUUUCGCAUGUGAAAUGUUCUUCUGAGCCUGAAUUGUAGGAUUAAGUAUUUUUCCUUGUACAGUAUUAUUUUUUUAUAAUAACGAGAAUUGUCUUUGUAAACAAUAAGUCAGUGCCCUAGGUCUAUGCAUUUUCUAUUUUUACUUUAUUAUUUUCUUGGUGUAAUAUUUUCGUACAUACGUGAGUGAAACACCUUUAUUUAUUUAAUUUAUUUAAUUGAUUAAUUAAUUAGGAAGAAAAAGUAAUCUGUGAUUUAUUUACGGUACGCGGCCAUUUUACGUAGUGAUAAAGUUACCUCCAUUCUCUCUCCGUCAAAAUAGAAGAAUGAUAACAGUCAAGCUCAAAAUUGAUAGAGGGCUCCCUUUUUCCACAUUUCUGGUCCAAUAUUUACUGAUGAGGCUUUCCUUUUAUUUAUUCAUAUUCUUCUCAGUGCGAAAUUCAAUCACGUUCCGCAUUGAUUGCGAAACAACCCCUUCUGAUUUUCAUAACUAAUCAAUCACAAGUCACGACUGAUUCACGUUUUUCUCUUAGCUCGUGUCAUUAAGUUCAUUCCACAAUAAUAUAAUGAAAAAAGCAGGUUUCUCUUUUUCUUCAAAGGGAAACUAUUUAAAUAUGAGCCUCUCAUCUUGUAUGAAAUGACUAGAGAUGAAACUUGGAUUAUAAGGUUUUAUAUGCGAAAAUCCUAAAUUUGAAAUAGAACCCUGCCCACAGUGUUUAGCCAUGAUUGUGUUAUUCUUAUUGUUUUAUAAUUUACCUUACCGCAUGCCUUUUUUCUGUUUUAUUUUUUUUUAGAGCAAAAAUGAAUGUCUUCUUGAGAGUUACUUGAAUAUGUUUUUUAAUCUUCGGACUUGAAAUUUAGAAGAAAUAUCACUUCUCAAUUCAAUUAUAAUAAUUUAUAACAUCGUAACUGACAGACGAUCUACUUCCAGUACGUGAAUAGGAAAAUAAGCCAUAGCUAAUGUUUUUACGAAUUGGUACAUCAUAAUUACGGCUGCUUCCUCUCCACAAUGUGAUUUUUGUAAAAUUAAAUGUUCUUUAGAAUUUAUUUGUUGUGCUUUUAAUUUUACCCUCCAAUUAUUCCUCUUUACCAGUAAAGGCUCCCUUAAACUUACCAUUAUUUUUUCAAGUUACCUCUAUAAAAGAAUGCACAUCGGAGACCAAAGUGCGGAACCACGUAUCUUCGUUUGCGACGUCACAGACUUCCUGUCAUUCUUGAUUUUUUCUUUGGAAAACUGGUCAGCGCGUCCACUUGAAAAUCGCCAUGAUUUUUCCUCUCGGUUUGCAGCAUAUUUUGUACCAAUUUCAAGCCAAGAAGUUGACUUGUUUCGAACCAUUUGAAUAAAAAUAGGCAGAAUAGAAACAGAGAAGCAAGAACAAGAAGGAGAAGGGUUGGAAGAGUAAGGCGAAGGAGGAGUAGAGGAAGAAGAAGAGGAGAAGGAAGAAAAAGCACCUCUGUGCGUAGGAACAUUGAAAGCACUUAAGUUGUUUCUAAAUUGAGCUGAACCACCCAGCUUUCAUCUCUUGGGAAGCCACGUCCCGGCCGACAAGAGGGAAGAAAAAUGGAGUUUCCGGUGUCGCGGGUCGGAGCAACCAUUAGAAUAAGAAUAGGUAGAACAUAGAAACAAAAUAGCGAGAAAAGGAAGGAGAAAAGUUAGAAGAGUAAGGUGAAAGAGGAGGAGAGGAAGAAGAAAAGGAGAAGAAGAAGGGGAGGAGAAAGAAGAAUCACCUCUGUGCCUAGGAACAUUGAAAGGACCUAAGUUGUUUCUAAAUUGAUCUGAAACACACAGCUUUCAUGUCUUGGGAAGCCAUGUCCCGGCCGACGAGAGGAAAGGAAAAUGGAGUUUGAGUUGGGGCUGACAGGACGGAGGAACCAUUAGAAUAAGAAUAGGUAGAGGAUAGAAACAGAAGAGGAAGGAAAGGAAGGAGAAGGGUUAGAAGAGUAAGGUGCAGGAAGAGUUGAUGAAGAAGAGGAGGAGGAAGAAGAGGGAGAGGAAGAAGAAGAGGGAGAGGAAGAAGAAGAGGAGGAGGAGGAAGAAGAAGAAGAAGAAGAAGAAGCACCUCUGUACGUAGGAACAUUAAAAGCACUUAAAAGGAAAGGAAACUUCACUUGUUUCUAAAUUGAGCUUAACCACCAAGCUAUCACCUCUUGGGAAGCCAGGUCUCGGCUGAAGAGAGGAAAGGGAAAUGGGGUUUGAGAUGUCGCGGGACGGAGCAAGCGUGGCACUGGAUCCGGCUCUGGACGUAGUGCUCGCGCUCCUUGAAGAAAACGUCGCCGUCGGUCUUGCGGAGGCACCUCCGGUUGGGGGCGGUGAGGUCGGGCUCGGCCUCGCUGGAGCUGGAGAGGGACGUCCCUAGGUCCGAGACGACGUCCAGGCGCUGGAACCCCGCCGAAGCCCCGCCCCUGCGCAAGGGCGCCCGCGCCCCGGGGGACGCACCUCGUGCGGGGCCACCAUCCCGUGGAGCGGGAUCCCGCCGAAUUUCCGCGGGUUCGGGUCCAGGCUCGGCUUCACUUUGUACGUCGAGUACCCUCGUGGCAGCGGGAUUUUCCUCUCCAUAGCACCUGCGAAAGAAAUCCCGAUAAGCAUCAACCCUACGGCAUUUUCUUUUGUCACGUACAUUAUAGUUUGGACGUAUUUAUGCUAGGCCUUGUCUCCACGGGCCGUUUCACGGGAUUUGUCCCAGGGAAAACUCCCACUUACGAAGUUGGGAAAAAUAUUGAGUUAAUCAAUAUUUUUCCCAGUACCAAGUAUGGUUCUUUUACUCCUAGAGGGGAAGAAGAAGUGUAAACGAAUUGUGCGAUAUUUUGUUGAAUACUCCAUUGUUCACGUUUGUUUAGUUAAAAUAGUGUGUCUAAUUGUCAAUUGAGUGCAAUUAUUACUUUAAUUCCGGUUAAAUACUCGACUUUAAAUAAUUUAUCUUCCCGCGCAAACUAGUCGCAGGACCGUAUGAGCCCCGUCCCGUGGAGACGGAAAAAUCCCCGAAGUUUCAUUCCUGCGAUUCGAACUUGGGACAAAUCCCAUGAAAACGUCCCGUGGAGACAAGGCCCUAAAUGGAACUAUGUGCAAGUGGAAAAAUGGGUAUGCUCGUUAGUGGAGGGCCGUAAGAAUGAAUGGGACCUUAAAAGCGCCAGUGACGUCAGCGGCAACGACCGAGACCGGGAAGGACGGGGGGAUCGGUGGCGGGACUCUUUUAACUCAAGAGUACUGUCCACAAGGCUCUUGUCACAUGUCCACGGCUCGCACAAGUUAGCGCUCAGUUCCUUUUGAUUCAAUGGAAAAUCCCGCUUUCCCAUUUUCUCAAAAGGAACUGUAACCACGUUUACAUUGUUUUUUAUGCAGCUUGCACGAGCACACCCGAUCUUUUCACUUGCACAUAGUUCCAUUGAGCAUAAAUACGUCCAAAUGAAGUAAACCUCGGAAAGAGCCACUCUAAAAGAUAGAACGUCACGGACAUGGCACAUUUUGAAUAUGUACUUUGAGAAAAUAUUUUAAAAUUGAAUAUUCUCAUCAUAAACCUAACUCGAGGUUCUAUUACAAUUGUGUGUGCAUAUAUGGGUUGAACAUAACGUAGAGUUGGUAUAAUUGAUGUCCAUUAAAAUAUUUUUAUGACAAUCUAAAAGUUAUUUCCGUUUAACUAUCAGUGCACCAAUCACAGAUUUAGUAUCUCCGUAGACAUUGCAUAAAAGCUGAAAUCUUUGUCAAUGACGAAAGUCUUAAAUCGUUCUCUACUUUACAUACUUAUUCGUCUCAUUCGAAGAGUGAAAAUAAAACACAUUUUCCUGUUUACAAGAUUUUCACAAGGAUUCUCGGCUUUUUUUCAAAUGACCCAUGGUAAUGACGAAUUACUCGUACUUAUGGACUACAUUUUGCAAUUAGGAACUAUAAAUACCGGCCUGGUUUAAAAACAACGUAUGUGCCAUUAGUUUCCCUGUGCACAUAAGUGUUUUUUCACAUGAGCCAGAAUUUAUAGGUCCAAAUUGCAAAAUGCAGUCCAUAUUACACGCCGUGACCUAUCGGCCGAGCAACUAAACUAACCUCGGAGAAGAGCGUGCUGUAUCAAGCGAAAUUGAAGGC
rnacentral:lncRNA from 1 species